rnacentral:rRNA from 1 species
GUAAGGAAUAUUGGUCAAUGGAGGCAACUCUGAACCAGCCAUGCCGCGUGCAGGAUGACGGCCCUAUGGGUUGUAAACUGCUUUUGUACCAGAGAAAACCCCAGUACGUGUACUGGGUUGAUAGUAUGGUAAGAAUAAGCAUCGGCUAACUUCGUGCCAGCAGCCGCGGUAAGACGAAGGAUGCAAGCGUUAUCCGGAUUCAUUGGGUUUAAAGGGUGCGUAGGCGGACUUGUAAGUCAGUGGUGAAAUCUCUCAGCUUAACUGAGAAACUGCCAUUGAUACUGCAGGUCUAGAGUAUAGAUGACGUUGGCGGAAUAUGACAUGUAGUGGUGAAAUACUUAGAUAUGUCAUAGAACACCGAUUGCGAAGGCAGCUAACGAAACUAUAACUGACGCUGAGGCACGAAAGUGCGGGGAUCAAACAGGAUUAGAUACCCCAGUAGUCC